rnacentral:rRNA from 1 species
AACGAACGCUGGCGGCAUGCCUAACACAUGCAAGUCGAACGAGACCUUCGGGUCUAGUGGCGCACGGGUGCGUAACGCGUGGGAACCUGCCCUUAGGUUCGGAAUAACUCCCCGAAAGGGGUGCUAAUACCGGAUAAUGACUUCGGACCAAAGAUUUAUCGCCUUUGGAUGGGCCCGCGUUGGAUUAGCUAGUUGGUAGGGUAAAAGCCUACCAAGGCGACGAUCCAUAGCUGGUCUGAGAGGAUGAUCAGCCACACUGGGACUGAGACACGGCCCAGACUCCUACGGGAGGUAGCAGUGGGGAAUAUUGGACAAUGGGCGAAAGCCUGAUCCAGCAAUGCCGCGUGAGUGAUGAAGGCCUUAGGGUUGUAAAGCUCUUUUACCCGGGAUGAUAAUGACAGUACCGGGAGAAUAAGCUCCGGCUAACUCCGUG